GUUCCAGAUAGUUAGUUGCAGAGAUAGUUCCAAAUAGUUGGUUUGAGAAUACUUUGGCAGAGGUUUUCUUCUCCUUAUUCAAAUUCACUUCCAGGUGCGUUUUGGCGUUAAAUUUUGUUCAAACUCAGUUCUGGCGUUAAAGUUGCACCGAGAAUA